rnacentral:rRNA from 1 species
AGUUCGGAUCGAAGUCUGCAACCCGACUUCGUGAAGCUGGAUUCGCUAGUAAUCGCGCAUCAGCCAUGGCGCGGUGAAUACGUUCCCGGGCCUUGUACACACCGCCCGUCAAGCCAUGAAAGCCGGGGGUACCUGAAGUACGUAACCGCAAGGAGCGUCCUAGGGUAAAACUGGUAAUUGGGGCUAAGUCGUAACAAGGUACC